GUGGAUUAGUUACCCUGGUAGUCCCCGCUGUAAACGAUGGGCACUAGGUGUCGCGGGUAUUGACCCCUGCGGUGCCGCAGCUAACGCACUAAGUGCCCCGCCUGGGGACUACGGCCGCAAGGUUAAAACUCAAAGGAAUUGACGGGGGCCCGCACAAGCGGUGGAGCAUGUGGUUCAAUUCGACGCAACGCGAAGAACCUUACCCGGGCUAGACAACAGAGGACCGCUUUAGAAAUAAAGUCUUCCCUUCGGGGACCUCUGGUUCAGGUGCUGCACGGCUGUCGACAGCU
rnacentral:rRNA from 1 species